UACGUAGGGACCAAGCGUUGUUCGGAUUUACUGGGCGUAAAGGGCGCGUAGGCGGCAAUUCAAGUCAGCUGUGAAAUCUCCGGGCUUAACUCGGAACGGUCAGCUGAUACUGUUUUGCUAGAGUGCAGAAGGGGCAAUCGGAAUUCUCGGUGUAGCGGUGAAAUGCGUAGAUAUCGAGAGGAACACCUGAGGUGAAGACGGGUUGCUGGGCUGACACUGACGCUGAUGCGUGAAAGCCAGGGUAGCAAACAGG
rnacentral:rRNA from 1 species